rnacentral:lncRNA from 12 species
CUGGGGGGAGAUGCCCUAACGGACCUCCCUGCUCCCCGGCCCUGGGGUCCAGGCCCAGGAGAGCCCGUGCAGGCGGACGCCCUGCCAGCCCUGAUGAGCCCCGGAGAGACAGGCCUGGGCCUGGAGCAGGGGCUGCAGCAGGACUCCAGCGCUUGGCACAAUGACCUGGGGGCCAGUGGCCCAGAGCGCACCGGAGCUGUCACACGUCAGGGUCACACAGGCGCAGAUUAGCCACGCGGGGCCUGGCAGGAGCCACUACCAUCACCUCUUCCAUUUCUCAGUGAUCCCUCCACCUGCGACAGCUCCCCUCCCCCUCCCUCUCCCUCCUCCCUCCUCUCUCCCUCUCUCCGUCCCUCCCUCCCUCUUCCUGCAUAGAAAACCUCUGUGGUCCCUUCUCUCUCCUGUUCAUGAACUUUUAGAAAUGGAAACCCACCAGGAAAAUCCACGAAGAGAGGAAGGGGAACCGGAGAAGCCCAGGAGGAGGAGGAGAUGCCUCCCCGGGGAACGCCCAGAUGACCAAGAGGUGCCCAGGCCUCUUAAUCCAACCCAAAAGGAAGCCACUUGUGGGCAGAUUUAUCUCCCGAGGUUUGUUUCCGGCCCUGAGUUUACCUGAGUUCGCCGGUGCACACGCAGGCGUGGCCGUCUGUCCUGACGGCGCUGCUGCCUCCUGGGUCUGAUGGAGUCCCGUCUACACCCGGAGCCCCCCUGCAGGACCCUCGUCACCGGGCCAGCCUCCCUGCUCCCGCUGGGGGAACCGGGGGGCGGCGAUGAAAGCUUUCCGCCUUUUUUUCCUGCCAAUGACCAAAUUCGAAUGUACAAUUUAAAAGCUACAUUGGCACUUUCCACCCCACUGCCUGCGAUGAUUGUGCCGAGAUUAUUAAACCCGUCAUAAAUAA